GUGUCAGCCGCCGCGGUAAUACGAAGGGGGCUAGCGUUGCUCGGAAUUACUGGGCGUAAAGGGCGCGUAGGCGGACAGUUUAGUCAGAGGUGAAAGCCCAGGGCUCAACCUUGGAAUUGCCUUUGAUACUGGCUGUCUUGAGUUCGGGAGAGGUGAGUGGAAUGCCGAGUGUAGAGGUGAAAUUCGUAGAUAUUCGGCGGAACACCAGUGGCGAAGGCGACUCACUGGCCCGAUACUGACGCUGAGGCGCGAAAGCGUGGGGAGCAAACAGGAUUAGAAACCCCCGUAGUCC
rnacentral:rRNA from 1 species